rnacentral:rRNA from 1 species
GAUGAACGCUGGCGGCGUGCCUAAUACAUGCAAGUAGAACGCUGAAGGAAGGAGCUUGCUCUUUCCGGAUGAGUUGCGAACGGGUGAGUAACGCGUAGGUAACCUGCCUGGUAGCGGGGGAUAACUAUUGGAAACGAUAGCUAAUACCGCAUAACAGUAGAUGCUGCAUGAUAUCUACUUAAAAGGUGCAAUUGCACCACUACCAGAUGGACCUGCGUUGUAUUAGCUAGUUGGUGAGGUAACGGCUCACCAAGGCGACGAUACAUAGCCGACCUGAGAGGGUGAUCGGCCACACUGGGACUGAGACACGGCCCAGACUCCUACGGGAGGCAGCAGUAGGGAAUCUUCGGCAAUGGACGGAAGUCUGACCGAGCAACGCCGCGUGAGUGAAGAAGGGUUUCGGAUCGUAAAGCUCUGUUGUAAGAGAAGAACGAGUGUGAGAGUGGAAAGUUCACACUGUGACGGUAUCUUACCAGAAAGGGACGGCUAACUACGUG